ACACCAAGGACAGAGCACGUUUGAUUGUUGUAGAGAAGAAAAUGUUCUGUGUCCAGUUGGCCUUGCACUUCGUACCACCAUGAUGAUGUAAGUGGUAGCCAGACAACAGUAAAGUUGUAGCAAAGAGAAGCAGCCUCUGUGAAGAACACAUCCAAUGAGGAUGAGGAGCAAGGGACUCAGAGACAGUCUCUACCUAUGGCACCAAGACAACUUAAGCUUGCCUCCUGUGCCCAACAACAUUCAUCUCCAACAUUGCUGUGAAGAGGGAGCUCAAGACUAAGAAGGAACAUCAUUCUAGAGGACAGAUAGAUGCUGUGCUGGAUUGGAUGAGACCAUUGGACCCCAUCUCCUAUGUCCUCAUCAGCCUCAGACUACCGAGAACAAGAGUGAGAACCCAGCCUGUUUCCUACCUUUUUUUCACCAACAGAACACUGAGCAAGAGAUCCUAGACUUCCAGUCUGGGCCCGAG